rnacentral:rRNA from 1 species
UACAGAGGGGGCAAGCGUUAUUCGGAAUUAUUGGGCGUAAAGGGCGCGUAGGCGGUGGUGCAAGUGGAAGGUGAAAUCCCUCGGCUCAACCGAGGAACUGCCUUUCAAACUGCACGACUUGAGUCCGGGAGAGGUGAGUGGGAAUUCCCAGUGUAGCGGUGAAAAUGCGUAGAUAUUUGGGAGGAACACCAGUGGCGAAGGCGGCUCACUGGACCGGAACUGACGCUGAGGCGCGAGAGCGUGGGGGAGCAAACGGGG